UUCAACCAUGAGAGCUCAAAGUCUGAACAAGAAAAGGCCUAGAGGACUGCCAUCUGUUUAAGUGCUACAGUCUGAAAUCUCCUCUGAACUUGAACAGACUUGUUCAAUAAUGAUGUGGCUGAAAAAGUGAGGUGACAAAAAAUGAACUGCAGCCAGCUGUUGGCCUCCUGUGAUAUUUCCACAGAGGAACAAUCUGCACUAGGACGAUCGGGUUGAAGGCCCAGCAAAGAUUCAUCUGCGUCGAUGAGAAGUGAAAAUUGCUAAAGGAUACAAGUGAAGCAAAGAGGCACGAGGCCAGCUCUGUGAUAGAAUAGCUGUUGCAUGGAAUCGCAUUACAGCGUCUUUCUUCUUCCUGUCAAACAAACGGACUGUUCUGCCCCACUUUCAGAAGUCUCAAACUGUCUUUUCCACGGCACUGAUCCCAAAGAUUGGUUUUUGUUUUAAUGCCGUGUCGCUGGUGCUGCUCAUGCCACUUCCCUAAAAGCCCGGGAUAUUACAAAUGCUGUCCAUGCAUGCAGCUGCACACAGCAGCGAUAACUGCACUCUCAUUAAACUGUCUUCACCUGAUAAACAUGUGAUUGUUGACUGCGAUAGAGAUAAAAUACUAUAGUAUAUAGCGCUCCCUGUGAUGAGCAUCAGUCUUUAUGGGUCUAGUGACACAUGGUGUUUGUAGUUUGUUUUAUUUAACUCUUCUAUUUCUGUGCGGCAGAUGAAAGUGCCGUAAGCUUGGAGGAGAUAGCCGCUGAUUUUACACAUCAAAGUCUGGUUACAGGUCUUUGAAAGCACUACUGCAUUAUGUGGAAAUAAAAACUUUCCAAAGCCCUUUGU
ensembl:lncRNA